rnacentral:lncRNA from 10 species
AGAAGGAGUUGCUGAGAAGGAGCUGUGGUUCUGACCUUCAGGGGAAUUCCCACGUCUGUAUGGUGGCUCGUGAAGAGCAUGGUUCCUUUUCUCAGCCCUCUUGAGGGGCGAGGAUGCUGAGGACUGAAGUCGGUGGGGCUUGAUGCAUGUGGCCGCCUUUCAUCCUUCUUCAAGUCACAGAGAGACAGAGAGGAGGGGACGAAGGACGAGCCAUGGGGUUUUGAAAGCAGGCACAGCAGCAGGGGUGCUGCCUCCAGGGGUCUGCUCUGCCAAGAGUUCCUGUCCCAGGUGUCUACAAAAACAGUCAAACUCUAUAAAAUACUUGGAGAUUUAUUCUGAGCCAAAUAUGAGUGACCAAUAGCCCGUGACACAGACCUCAGGAGAUCCUGCCCAAGGUGGUCAGGUUACAGUUUGGUUUUAUAUAUAUUAGGGAGAUACAAGAAAUAAAUCAAUACAUAGAAAAUGUACGUUGGUUUGGUCCGGGAAGGCAGGACAACUCAAAGCAGAGGCUUCAAGUCAUAGAUACAUUCAAAGAUUUUCUGAUUGACAAUUGGUUGAAAAAGUUGUAUUAUCAUCUAAAGACCUAGAAUCAACAGAAGAGAAUGUCUGGGUUAAGAUGAGAGGUUGUGGAGACCAGGGUUCCCAUUAUGCAGAGGAAGCCCCAGGUAGCAGGCUUCAGAGAGAAUAGGUUGUAAAUGUUUCUUAUCAGAAUUAAUUCUCUCCUGGAGCACGAAAAGGAAGGGGAUUCUCUUCGAAAUAUAGAUUUUCCCCACAAGAGACAGCUUUGCAGGACUAUUUUGAGAUACAGCAAAUAAACAUAACUUGGGGCAAAAUACUUUGAUUUUUUUUUUUCAGGGCCUGCUCUCUGUCAUGUGAUGCUAUACUACAGCCAGGCUGGAAUUUGGUGUCUUAUUGCUACAAAGAAUCAGCUUUGUCAAUCCUAAGGUCUGUUUUAAUGUUAAUGCUGGUCAGUUGUGCCUGAGUUCCAAAAGGGAGCAGGAAAUAAUGAGGCACGUUCGACCCUCCCUUCCCACCACGGUUUGCACUAGUUUUUCAGGUUAACUUUGGAAGGCUAUUGGCCGAGGCGAGGGGUCCAUUCAGAUGGUUGGGGGACUUAGAAUUUUAUUUUUGGUUUACACAGGUCACUGAGAGGCUGCCAGAGGGCCAUUUUCAUGACCAGAGGGAUCUGUUCAACACCCUGUGGGUCCCAGCACCUAUCUCAGGAAGCAGGGUGCAUCUGUCCACCACCAAGUCUCAGGGUGGCUGGGUGAGCGCUCAUCAGUCCCAGACAGCAGGUUGGCACAAAACGACACUGCCCACAAAACCACAGGAAGAAGAGAAACUCCGACUGUCUUUCAGCACACAGAAGACACUGUACUGGACCCGGACAUUAGGCAGACACCCACGCCUGACUUUCAGGAGAAAAGAGAACAUGACUAACGGAUAUUCUUAGUAGAUGGUUUAUUAGAAAAGAGAACAUCUUCCAGCAUGUGUCCUGGGGUGAUGGGUGUGGGAAGCACUCAGUCCAUAGUCCUGGUCCCUGGCUUCCCCAAGCCCAGCACCAUGAAUGUACAGUGGAAAGCAGAGGGUGCAGCGUCUCAGAAAGAUGCUUCCACUCACAAGGAUUGGAGCUCACAAGUGAGCUCCAUAACCUGCAAACCAGAGAAACCUGAGACACUGCCCCUUGGCCAUUUUAUCAACGGAGACUUUAUUGUGAUUAUCCCGGCAGGGGGCCGAGCUCUCCUCUCUGCAACAGGAAAUGCUCUUUAGUGAAAAUGCAGCAUUUCUCCAAGGGUAACAAAGCUGAACGCCUGCUUAGCUUAUGAACCCUCAGUUGGCCUAGGUGGUGCAAAGACCCUGCUGUUACUGCUUUGAUCAUCAGUACUGUGGACUGUACCAGGAGAUCCCUGGGAAUGUGCUCUGGGCGGAAGCAGCUUUUAUCUUUGGCCCUCACCCAUGCUUUAUAUGGUGAGGUUGGGAAAAUGGCACAAGGCUUCUCCUGAACCUCAAAUCAACACCCUUGCCCCAUUUAGAUCCUAUCUGGCUGUUUCUUGCUAAUAUUACUGCAUCACUGCACCAUCUUUCCUAUUUCAGCAAAGUGGAGUCAUGUGUGGUUUAUGGGGUAGAUGGACCCCAAAACUGAUAAUAUGAAUCAAGCUAUGGUGUUUACUCCCUAGGAAAUGCACAAUUUUUCUGGAAACCUACAGAAGCUUCAAAUGCAUUCGCCAUGCAAAGCUAAGUCAGCAGAACAACCCGUUUGGCUUUGGAGGCUAGUUCAGUUCCGCGGACAGGGAGAAAGAUGAGGCAGACUGUGGUUUUUCAGUUCCUGGAGCUUACGGAGCUCCAAAGCUCCCUCUCUUCCCACCCUGGCUGCACUGUUCUUAAUUUUAGAUAAUACCCUGCCUUCUCGUAUUGCUGCUGAGCUCCUAGCAUCCUCAGUUUAUCUGUCUGUGAAAUGAAAAAUCUAAUGUUAAAUUUUUUACCUAUGGCAUGAGAGAGAUGGCUAUGGCUCUUGUGAGCCUCUCUGCAGCCCCUCUUUUCCUUCAAUCACCCUCUGUCUCUCCUGCCUUCUGCUUAUUCUCUCUCUCCCCUCAUCCCCACUUUCCCAGUGGGUCCUCUGUUCUCUUUUUUUUUUUCUUUUUAAAUCUCUCUAUGCCUCCAGCCGAGAAGAUAAAGAGUGUACAUCUUUCUGGUUAAAAAGUUUUGCUUUGCAGAAACACAGCCAAUUUAUGAUUCUGGCCUUCCCAGCUAGGGACAGUGUUCAUUUACAUUUAGGACCAUGAGGAGAGAGGCUUAGCUGUGUGUUUCUGAGGCCGGAGAAAAUUACAGUGAUAUAUAACAGUGCUGCACUCAUAGAGGUGCUGAGCCGGGGUUGGGCUCAGGCGGCCGCUAAGCUCAGAGUGGAAAGUUUCAGAGGGGAGGCAGAAAGGAGAGGUCUAUAGCUCCUCCAGAUUCUAGGUAUUAAUUUACUAAGAUAUUCCUAAGCCAGAAAACAGAGACAGAAGACAAAGAGAAAGAGGGAAGAAGAGCAAGACAGAGAGUUAGAGAGAGACAAAGAGAGAGAGUUAGAGACAAAGAGAGAGUGGAGAGGAGAGAGAGCAAAUAUUGAAAGGAAAAGGAAAAAGAAAGAAACCUGACAGCUCAUGAACUUUUUAAAAAGUUACAAAUUAGAUUUGAAGAGAUGGGCAGAGGUUUAAGAUUUCUUCAUUAGGCUGGGUGUGGUGGCUCAUGCCUGUAAUUGCAGCACUCUGGGAGGCUGAGGGUGGCAGAUCAUCUGAGGUCAGGAGUUCGACACCAGACAGGCCAACAUGGUGAAACCCUGUCUCUACUAAAAAUACAAAAAUUAGCCAGGCAUGGUGGCACGCGUCUGUAAUCCCAGCUACUCUAGAGGCUGAAGCAGGAGAAUCGCUUGAACCCAGGAGGCGGAGGUUGCAGUGAGCCAAGACUGUGCCAUUGCACUCCAGCCUGGGUGACAGAGUGAGACUCUGUCUCC